UACGAAGGGGGCUAGCGUUGCUCGGAAUCACUGGGCGUAAAGGGUGCGUAGGCGGGUCUUUAAGUCGAGGGUGAAAUCCUGGAGCUCAACUCCAGAACUGCCUUUGAUACUGAAGAUCUUGAGUUCGGGAGAGGUGAGUGGAACUGCGAGUGUAGAGGUGAAAUUCGUAGAUAUUCGCAAGAACACCAGUGGCGAAGGCGGCUCACUGGCCCGAUACUGACGCUGAGGCACGAAAGCGUGGGGAGCAAAGCAGG
rnacentral:rRNA from 1 species